AGAAAGGGGAAAACUGACUCAGACAAGUUGUCCUCUCCUCUGACUGUCACACAGAUCCUGUGAUGGGCACACACACACAGAGUAAAAUAGAAUGUAAUAAAUAUUUAAAAAUGCACUCUUUAGGUACAUGAAUUGUAAUAUAUAAUGUUUGACCUUGUGAUUCAUAGAGAUGGCAAAAUCAUCAGUUGAGACUUUCACUAUUUUUUUUCUGAGACAAGGUUUCUGACUUGCUCUGUAGACUAGGCUGUCCUAGAACUCACAGAUAUCUGCCCACCUUUGCCUCCUGAGUGCUAGGAUUAAAGGCGUGCGCCACCACCACCUGGCUUACUAGUAUUCUUAAACAAAAUUUAUUAUGAUUUUUUAUAGCUAAUAAUGUAUUUCAUUAACUUAUUUUCCGUCUGUCUUCCUGUGGAAGAGUCAAGUUCAGGCAGCUGCAACAGGGUCUAAAACAGCUUCCAUCUCACCGGCAAAUUCCAGGAGAAGCCUGCCCACGUGUGGGGUGACUACUUCUGUUUGGCCUUGAUUACUGCUGCACGAUUCACCAUCGUUCUUAUGAAGAACUCUGAGGAGGCUGAUUGACGGGUCAGGAUACAUGGAGGGUUGACUUUAAAACGUGCCGUGCAGUCUGGAGGUUUGCAGCCGACAAAUGCCGUGUCUGCACGUAUCUUACUAGAAAGAGUAUAAAAAUAGCUGUGUGGACAGUGAAGUGCUCUCCUUGGACGCUUUCCUCAGCACACACUUCUGCAAGUUCUGCUUUCUGCCCUUACUCUGCCUUGCUUGGCUCUACAGUGGCUUGGGUGAUAAGGCUUAUUCGGCGGGGGAGAUGGCUCUGUUUUCCUCCGGUGCUUGCCAGCCUUCAAAUGCAGGGACUGAUGUGCUGGGUCGAGCAGUAAAGCUCCAGAAAUGAAUCUAAGGCACCCGGGCAGUGAGCAAUGCAGAAUGCCUGAACUCUUUUGGAGCAGAUUGGUAACUUCCCACUGCCACUAGAUGUCCCUCUGUGGCUUUUCUUUUGGACAUCGGUGCCGUACACAGGGCAAGUCGUUUCUGCUCUGCUGGAUGGAAGAAAGUGCUCUGCAGGCUCCAAGGAAACGGGAUGUUAUCCAAGCUGCGACCCACCACCGUCACGUAGCCCUCAUGCAUGUUGUUAUGAUGCAGAAAUCAGGACACUCUCUAUAGAGGCUGGUUCAAGAGGCACACUUUGAGUGGCACUGACCUAGGCUGAUUCAGCAUCUUUGAAGGAAAACCAGUGACCACGAGGAACCAGACAGGGCUCAAGACAGCUUAGAAGACACAGAUGGUCAUGCACUGUGAGGGUCUGUGCUCUGCAGCUCCUGCUCUGCACCAGGUGUGGUCCUCCUGGUCUGGGCCAAGUGUGGUCCUCCUGCUCUGGGCCAGGUGUGGUCCUUCUGUUCUGGGCCAGGUAUGUUCUGGAAUUUUCCUUCAUCAUGGGUGUCCUGAAGGGUCAUGAGAAGUCUAGGACCAGAGACCCAAGGAAGCAGACAGAAAGAUCAGGACUGUGAGUCAACCGUGGGACAUCUGCUCAGAUUUUUACACUGUGAACAGUUUUAAGAAAUCAUUUUUUUUUUAAGAUAGGGUCUCACUAUGUAAUCUUGGAUGAUCUGGGAUUUACCAUAAUCCUCCUGCCUCUGUCAUCCAAGGGAUUACAGGUGUAUACAACCAUGCCCAGCCCUUCUUGACAAACAGUAAAUAUAUUUACAUUAACCACAAGUAUUACCCAGACACUGGAGUUACUUGGAGCUUAUAAAAAUAUAAACUCCUCUGCAUUUGGAGAUGUUGUUUCUGUCAGUUGGAGAAGUCCCCAAGUGGAUUCUGAUGCUUUAUCCAGAUGCACACUAAAUGUUCAAGAAACACACACACACACACACACACACACACACACACACACACACACACACGUAUGCACUCACCCAUACCCAUGCACACUCAUGCACACUCACUCAUACUCUCCCCUCAUAGCCACCCCCAUUUCUUAUUUCAAAAUAGGCAUUUUGCAUAAUCAAUAACCAUAUGGGUGAUAGAAAGAAAAGCCCAGCUGCUGACACUUCUGGCCCAAAUAAAUAUGUCUAAGUAAAUGUUUUAAAAGAUGUUUCUGUCAUGCUUAGCCAUUUCAGAGGAAUCAGGCUUUAGAACACAAGACCAUCUGCCUGUCAUUUUACAAAGCUGUUCUGAGGCUGAACACAGUGGUACAAACUUGCCAUCUCAGCAUUCUAGGGGAAGAGACAGGAGGAUCUCAAGUUCAAGACCAGUCAGAGCUACAUACUGAGAGCCUGACUCAGGAAGCCAGUGGCUGUAGCUGAAUGACUUGUCUGCCUGCCCUCCACGCACAUGACCCUGUGAUCCUCAGCACUACAGAGCAGAAGUUAGAAACCCGCCUUGAAUGAGAUUUCAAACCUGCUUUGUUAAUAUUGACUUUUUUCCUUCUCUCAGACUCCUCCAUCAAUAAGAUGUACUAUGUGGAACUCUAUACUAAGAUAUUAUUUUUAUUAAGUUAAAUGGUGAGGAUUCUAUGUAAACUGCAAAGUACGAGUUACAUUUCUACUCUUUUAUAUUGUUUAUUAGGACAUUUCUUUUCCUUUCUUCUCUCUGUGAGAGAAGAGUUUUCCAAUUCUCUGUGAGCUAGCUACAGGAUUUUUUCCACUUUUCCUUACCUCCAUAAUAAAAAAGAACAUGGGUGAGUGUGAGGAUAAUGUCUCAGCAGGAGAUGUAAACUCGAGGCAAACUUGUAAAGUCAAGGCUGAAAAGGUGUGUGGGGCCCUAAACUUCCACGUUCUCCAUGUUACUAUUCAGCUGCUAUCAUUUAUAUACACAGAUCCAUGAUUUUCUAGCUGACACAUAUAUAGUCCACAACUGUGAAAUUCAAGUGAUUAGGUUGAUAAAUCAUUUACUUUUUAAAAACUAUUGACCUGAUAUGGAGGAGUCAUGUCUUUUUCCGUAUCAUUUUUUCUAAACAUCAAGAUAGUUAUUUUUAAAUAUUUUCAUGACCACCAUAUGCUGGAAUGUUAUAAAGAAAAUUUGCAUUUCACAGCUUUUAAAUGCAUUUUCUGAAUUUAUACAUUAAGAUUUUAGAUGUCAUUUUUUUCUUCCUUUUUGAGAUAAAGUUUCUAGACCAGUAUCAAACUCACGGAAGUCCUCCUGCCUUAGCUACCCAUGUUUUUAGAUAUCUUAUUAUAUUCUUCAUUAUUUUUUUCCUGUCAUAUUUGGUUUUAUCCUAGGUCUCUGAGCUAGCCAGUCUCUUAAUUAAUUCCUUGUCAUCUUUCUAGUUUGAAUACAAACACAAGAACUUUGCUCUACCAAUUUAGAGGUUAUAUUGUUUCUAAGUUAUACAUAACUUACAUAUAAUUAUUAAUGAACAUGGCUGAUAAAUUUCUACAGCAAGGAGGGAGGCAUUCUGCACCACACAGAUGAGAAGACAUGCUGCUACUUUCUCAUCAGAUUGACUUGGACUGAACAAAAUUUGUCUGGGCACAGAAGUAAAGAGAAGCAAAAUUCUCAGUGGCAGGAGUGGCUUCUUAUUUAUCCUUAAACAACAGGCACGGAAAGCUUACAGACAAAAGUCUAUAUUUUUAAAUAAACAUGUGUAGCCAUCUUCUACAAUGACCUUGAAAUUAAUUUCUGGUACAGAGUUUCUAAUCACAAAGAGAGCUGUGUGAUUAGCAGUCAUUUCAGGAGUAUUUGCACACAUGGUUACCCUUCAGUGUCUGCAGGGGAUUAGAUACCAAAGUCUGCAGAUGCUCAAGUGGUGCGUAUUUGUGUAUCGCCUACACACAUCCAUUCCUUUACCUUUAGGCCUGUCCAAACUUUUGGCAUCAAAACACAAUGCUGUUACAUCUUCGGAAGUGCACACUCCAGAACCUUGAAAUUGAAUCACAAAAGAAAAAUCACAGACAAACCUACAAAGUUUUAAGUGAGUUUAUGGUUUGUGUUGAGCCUCUUACCUUUCCUGGGUACCCAAGCAGGACACAACUGAACCAUCACUUCCAGAUGACUUAAAAUGCUGCAUGCAGUGUUAACACUGCUUCUAACACUGCUAUACCUGAUUAUGGAAUAAUGACAAAUCUUGUCUGAUCCUGUUUAGUGCAGGUGUAAUCCCCUCCUGCACUGACAGUUUGAAUCUACAAUUGAUUGAAUUCAUAGAUACAGAACACACAGAUAAAGGGCUACUCUUAGUAAAUGAAUAGUUGCCUUUACUGUUUACAUAGGACCAAUGGGAGCUAUCUCAUUUAUUUGACAACUUACACAUCAAUCUGGGAAUGAUAUGUAAGAGGAGACUGUGAAGAAAUAAAGAACUUCAUAGUUACAGAUUCCUUGGUCAUGAUGUCAAACCUGUGGGGCUGGGGAGAUAGCUCAGUUGGUAAAGUACUUGUUGUGCAAACACAAGGAGCCGAGUUCGGAUCCCAACACCAGCAUAAAAAUCUAGGUAUGGAAACAAUUUAUAAUCUCUUCUCUGGAGAGGUGGAGACAGGCCAGCCAUAUCAGCUGAAUUAACAAGCUCUAAAUUUCAUUAGAGACCCUGUCUCAAAAAAUAAAGGGGAGAUGAUUGGGCACAAUGGCUCAGCUCAUAAAGGUGUUUGUUCCCAAGCCUGACUUACUCAUUUCAAUCAACAGCACCCACAUGGUGGAAUGAACUGUCUCCUGAAACUUGGCGUCUUACCCCAUAGGCACACUGUGGACAAAUGCGUGGUGGCACACACCUAUUCAUACAAAUAAAUGACAUUUAAUAGAUUAUUUUUAAAAAAAUAGAAAGGAAACUGAGGAAGACAUUUGACAUUGAACUCUGUUCUCCAUAUAAGCAUGCACACAAAUGCACAUGAAUCCACAUGCAUAUGUGCACACCCUCUUCCCCCACAAUAUCACAUGCACACACAAAAACAUACAAAUAUAUACAUAGUACCCACCACAAGGUAGCCAGCUGAAAAUGAACCAAAUUGCUUAGUGUAUAACUCCUAAAUUAAUUGAUUGUUAAACUGACUAAUAAAUUAUUUGACUCAA